AAAUGUUUCACCUUCCAACUCCUUCCAAAUUCAAUAAUCAUUUCUCCCUCAUUACUAUGCAACUGUUGCCUCUCUCUUCCUCUUCUUUCUUCUAUCUUCGCCUCGCUUCAUCUUCUUAUUUCUUCUUAUAUUCAAUUUCUUCCUUUCAAUAUUUCAAUUCUUCAAUUUUUCAAUUGUUGUUGUUUUGAGAGAGACUCAACCGGUAAUUACCAUUUUCUGCUUACUUUCCCUUUCACUCCCACCGUACCCUCUGCGAACAUGACUUCCAUCACCUUCGUCGAGCUCAACUAUCUCGUGUUUCAC